rnacentral:rRNA from 1 species
GGGCCCGCACAAGCGGAGGAACAUGUGGUUUAAUUCGAUGAUACGCGAGGAACCUUACCCGGGCUUGAAAUGCGGUGGACCGGCGGAGAGAUCCGCCUUCCCUUCGGGGCCACCGUGUAGGUGCUGCAUGGUUGUCGUCAGCUCGUGCCGUGAGGUGUCGGCUUAAGUGCCAUAACGAGCGCAACCCUCAUCAUUAGUUACUAACAGGUAAAGCUGAGGACUCUAGUGAGACUGCCAUCGUAAGAUGCGAGGAAGGUGGGGAUGACGUCAAAUCAGCACGGCCCUUACGUCCGGGGCGACACACGUGUUACAAUGGGUGGUACAAAGGGCAGCUACCUGGCGACAGGAUGCCAAUCCCCAAAACCACUCUCAGUUCGGAUCGGAGUCUGCAACUCGACUCCGUGAAGCUGGAUUCGCUAGUAAUCGCGCAUCAGCCACGGCGCGGUGAAUACGUUCCCGGGCCUU